ACGCUCGACACCUACGGGAGCAGCAGUGGGGAAUAUUGCACAAUGGGGGAAACCCUGAUGCAGCGACGCCGCGUGAGUGAAGAAGUAUUUCGGUAUGUAAAGCUCUAUCAGCAGGGAAGAAGAUGACGGUACCUGAGUAAGAAGCCCCGGCUAACUACGUGCCGGCAGCCGCGGUAAUCUGAGCGGGCUGGCAAGGC
rnacentral:rRNA from 1 species